GAUGAACGCUAGCUACAGGCUUAACACAUGCAAGUCGAGGGGCAGCAUGGUCUUAGCUUGCUAAGGCCGAUGGCGACCGGCGCACGGGUGAGUAACACGUAUCCAACCUGCCGUCUACUCUUGGACAGUCUUCUGAAAGGAAGAUUAAUACAAGAUGGCAUCAUGAGUCCGCAUGUUCACAUGAUUAAAGGUAUUCCGGUAGACGAUGGGGAUGCGUUCCAUUAGAUAGUAGGCGGGGUAACGGCCCACCUAGUCUUCGAUGGAUAGGGGUUCUGAGAGGAAGGUCCCCCACAUUGGAACUGAGACACGGUCCAAACUCCUACGGGAGGCAGCAGUGAGGAAUAUUGGUCAAUGGGCGAGAGCCUGAACCAGCCAAGUAGCGUGAAGGAUGACUGCCCUAUGGGUUGUAAACUUCUUUUAUAAAGGAAUAAAGUCGGGUAUGCAUACCCGUUUGCAUGUACUUUAUGAAUAAGGAUCGGCUAACUCCGUGCCAGCAGCCGCGGUAAUACGGAGGAUCCGAGCGUUAUCCGGAUUUAUUGGGUUUAAAGGGAGCGUAGAUGGAUGUUUAAGUCAGUUGUGAAAGUUUGCGGCUCAACCGUAAAAUUGCAGUUGAUACUGGAUAUCUUGAGUGCAGUUGAGGCAGGCGGAAUUCGUGGUGUAGCGGUGAAAUGCUUAGAUAUCACGAAGAACUCCGAUUGCGAAGGCAGCCUGCUAAGCUGCAACUGACAUUGAGGCUCGAAAGUGUGGGUAUCAAACAGGAUUAGAUACCCUGGUAGUCCACACGGUAAACGAUGAAUACUCGCUGUUUGCGAUAUACAGCAAGCGGCCAAGCGAAAGCGUUAAGUAUUCCACCUGGGGAGUACGCCGGCAACGGUGAAACUCAAAGGAAUUGACGGGGGCCCGCACAAGCGGAGGAACAUGUGGUUUAAUUCGAUGAUACGCGAGGAACCUUACCCGGGCUUAAAUUGCAGAUGAAUUACGGUGAAAGCCGUAAGCCGCAAGGCAUCUGUGAAGGUGCUGCAUGGUUGUCGUCAGCUCGUGCCGUGAGGUGUCGGCUUAAGUGCCAUAACGAGCGCAACCCUUGUUGUCAGUUACUAACAGGUUCCGCUGAGGACUCUGACAAGACUGCCAUCGUAAGAUGUGAGGAAGGUGGGGAUGACGUCAAAUCAGCACGGCCCUUACGUCCGGGGCUACACACGUGUUACAAUGGGGGGUACAGAGGGCCGCUACCACGCGAGUGGAUGCCAAUCCCAAAAACCUCUCUCAGUUCGGACUGGAGUCUGCAACCCGACUCCACGAAGCUGGAUUCGCUAGUAAUCGCGCAUCAGCCACGGCGCGGUGAAUACGUUCCCGGGCCU
rnacentral:rRNA from 1 species